rnacentral:lncRNA from 1 species
ACCUCGAUUUGUAUCUUCCUCAUUGUGGCUCACUCCCUGAGGCUGCUGGGUGCAGAGUGGAUGGACGUCGAAGCCGCAAGGCUGGCAUUGGUAAAACAUCCCCUUGGUUGUUUCUUUGCAGAUGUCGCACCAACGUCCGUCCUGGUGGACUAACCGGAGCUCGUGCUGUGGAUGAAGACUGCUUCGGAGGGUAGGGGGACACGUGGCACAAUACUCGUGAAGAUCGUAGUUGCAAGAGGCGCAACGGUAGGUCCUCCCAAAGCCGUAAGUUUCGCAGCCAUCGCAUAUGUACCUGCCAACCCCGUCAACUUUCGUUAAUGGAUGGAUAUGGUGGGCUACUUCUUCCGCUUUCGAAGGAGACAUAUCUCAAUAUUUAUGUUUAUGUUCUUUCUUUCUUUCUUUUGCUUCUUGGGAAUGGUAGGACUUGAGAGAACAAACCUGGAUAUAUAUAUAUAUAUAUGUCUGAAAUGGUGAUCAAGUGGCAACUCAUUGAAAUGAAGAAAUAGCGAGGAAGGAUAGUCCAACCAGAGAAACCAGAACGAGUCAGCUCUGGUGGUAAAGGGGUUGCGGCUGUAACUUCCGCCACCCGGGUUCGAUUCGUGCUGGGAGGGACUAUUUACAUUGCUUGGGUUCCCGGCAAAGAGGUGAAACACACCUUUUUUAUAUUCAAAAAAAAGAUAGUCCAACCAGAGACGUACUCAACAAUACGUGUAAGAGCAUGAUUAUCCCUAGAAACCAAUAAGGUUUCUUAAGUACACUUUAAUGAAUAUUUAAUUAUUAAAUUUUAGCUACCUCACCUCGAUUUGUAUCUUCCUCAUUGUGGCUCACUCCCUGAGGCUGCUGGGUGCAGAGUGGAUGGACGUCGAAGCCGCAAGGCUGGCAUUGGUAAAACAUCCCCUUGGUUGUUUCUUUGCAGAUGUCGCACCAACGUCCGUCCUGGUGGACUAACCGGAGCUCGUGCUGUGGAUGAAGACUGCUUCGGAGGGUAGGGGGACACGUGGCACAAUACUCGUGAAGAUCGUAGUUGCAAGAGGCGCAACGGUAGGUCCUCCCAAAGCCGUAAGUUUCGCAGCCAUCGCAUAUGUACCUGCCAACCCCGUCAACUUUCGUUAAUGGAUGGAUAUGGUGGGCUACUUCUUCCGCUUUCGAAGGAGACAUAUCUCAAUAUUUAUGUUUAUGUUCUUUCUUUCUUUCUUUUGCUUCUUGGGAAUGGUAGGACUUGAGAGAACAAACCUGGAUAUAUAUAUAUAUAUAUGUCUGAAAUGGUGAUCAAGUGGCAACUCAUUGAAAUGAAGAAAUAGCGAGGAAGGAUAGUCCAACCAGAGACGUACUCAACAAUACGUGUAAGGAAUAGUAAAGAGUUGGAAACAUCUUAAUUAAGAAAAUGACGAGGAAACUAAGAAUUUUUUUAUAUACUUACGUAUUUUGUAGCCAGUCUCCAAAUUUUAAUGUGUGGUUGGAGAAAAAAUAAAUAAACAUUUGAAAAUCAACCAAACAUGAGUGAGGAAUAUCUCGACAAUUCGUUGGUUAAUUAUUUAGUUGGAAAUGAUAUUCACCAUAUCCUAAAUUGAUACUCUACUCGCAAAACCUGUUCUUUGAAGUAUUGUCCAAACUUGCCCAAAUUCACUUUUAAUUUACUUUCUGGUCACUUUCAUAUUUGUCUCCUACCAUAUAUUUCAUUAAACUGACAUUCUUUGAUCUUCACGUUAUUGAAUAUAAAUAACUAAGAGAAUCAGCAUUGAGUUUCUCACCAAUAGGUUUUAGUAAUAAAAAAUACUAAAUUUUGACCCGUGCAACCGCACGGGUGUUUGUUUUCACUUUUUUAUACAUAAAUUAUUGUUUUAGAACAUAAGUGGUAUAUAUUUUUAAUGUUAAUCAUAUACUUAAAUAUUUAUAUAACUAUUUCAAAUACAAUAAUUUUAUAAUUUACAUGUUAUAAUUAAUUAAUUGUUUAAACCUUAUGUAUUUGCCACUUCUUAUUAUAUAUUUAUCUUAUUGUAUUUGCAUUUAGUUAUUAAGCAAAUUAAUAUAUUCAUGAGAAAAUAUAUUUAAAAAAUAUUUUGUAUUUAAUUUAUGCUAAAUUCUGACCCGUAUUUCAAAACUGGAUUUCUUUUUACCAAUAUUUUUAUGCUUAUUCAUUUUAGAUAAUUUAUUAUUGUAUAUAUAAAAGUGUAAGAUAUGUUAAUUUUUAGACAUGUAUUAUAUAGUUUGUUAAUUUUAAGUCGUUCUAUCAUCAUAUUAUAUUUUAAAUAAAUAGUUUAUAUUUAUGAAAAUAAAAUUUAUAAAUUUAUCAAUUGAAUAUAAUUUUAUCAUAUUUAUUUUAGUAUAAUAAUUAUAUUUUAACAUGAUCAUGACUAUAAAAGUAGACAAAAUAUGAUAUAAUUUAUUUAUUUUCAUUUCUAAACGAUAACUUAAAAUACAUUAAGUUAUUGUUUAAAUAUUACACAGAUUUAUUAGAAUUUUUAAAAUAUAAUAUAUAAAUAUAUAUUAUAUUUAAAAUGAAAAUAUAUUAUGAUUAAAGUAGUUACAAAGAUUUUAUAUUAUUAACUUUAAAGAAAUACAUGUUAAUUUUUAUACAUGUAUUAUAUAGUUUGAUAAUGUUAACCCAUCUUACCAACAUAUUAGAUUUUAUUUUUGAACAUAAAUAUUUUAUAAUUACGAAAAUAAAAUAUAUAAAUAUAUAAAUUUAAUACAAUUUUAUUAUAUUUAGCUCAAUAUAAUAAUUUUAUUUAGCUCAAUAUAAUAAUUUUAUUUUAAUAUGAUUGAUUAUGAUUAUAUAAUAAAUAAAAUAUUAUAGAUUUUUUUAUGUUUCAUUUUAUAUAACUGAAUAUAUUAAUGUAUAAUAAUAUUUUAAACUAAUUUCGAAAUUAGUGAAAAUAUUUAAAUAUAAUUUCAAAAAUGAAGAUCUUGUAAAAAUCUUUUCAAACAGAUUUGUUAGACUUUUAAAAUAAAUAUAUUUAUAUUUAAAAUGAAACGAUAUCAAAAGAUAUUAUGAUUAAAAUAUUUUAAAAAUUAUAUUUAUUAUUAGUCUGAAUUAAAAUGUAACUAGAUUUUGACCCGUGCAACCGCACGGGUGUUUGGUUUUAUUUUUCUAUACAUAAAUUAUUAUUUUAGAACAUAAGUGGUAUAUAUUUUUAAUGUUAAUCAUAUACUUAAAUAUUUAUAUAACUAUUUCAAAUAUAAUAAUUUUAUAAUUUACAUGUUAUAAUUAAUUAAUUGUUUAAACUAUAUGUAUUUACCACUUCUUAUUAUAUAUUUAUCUUACUGUAUUUGCAUUUAGUUAUUAAGCAAAUUAAUAUAUUAAUGAGAAAAUAUAUUUAAAAAUUAUUUUGUAUUUAAUUUAUGCUAAAAUUUGACCCGUCUUUCAAACCUGAAUUUCUUUUUACCAAUAUUAGAUAAUUUAUUAUUGUAUAUAUAAAAGUCUAAGAUAUGUUAAUUUUUAGAUAUGUAUUAUAUAGUUUGUUAAUUUUAAGCUGUUCUAUCAUCAUAUUAUAUUUUAAAUAAAUAAUUUAUAUUUAUGAAAAUAAAAUUUAUAAAUUGAAUAUAAUUUUAUCAUAUUUAUUUUAGUAUAAUAAUUAUAUUUUAACAUGAUCAUGACUAUAAAGUAGAUAAAAUAGGAUAUAAUUUAUUUAUUCUCAUUUUUAAACGAUAACUUAAAAUACAUUAAGUUAUUGUUUAAAUUUUUUUACACAGAUUUAUUAGAAUUUUUAAAUAUAAUAUAUCAAUAUAUAUUAUAUUUAAAAUGAGAAUAUAUUAUGAUUAAAGUAGUUACAAAGAUUUUAUAUUAUUAACUUUAAAGAAAUACAUGUUAAAUUUUAUACAUGUAUUAUAUAGUUUGAUAAUGUUAACCCAUCUUACCAACAUAUUAGAUUUUAUUUUUGAACAUAAAUAUUUUAUAAUUACGAAAAUAAAAUAAAUAAAUAUAUAAAUUUAAUACAAUUUUAUUAUAUUUAGCUCAAUAUAAUAAUUUUAUUUUAAUAUGAUUGAUUAUGAUUAUAUAAUAAAUAAAAUAUUAUAGAUUUUUUUAUUUUUAAUUUUAUAUAACUGAAUAUAUUAAUGUAUAAUAAUAUUUUAAACUAAUUUCAAAAUUAGCAAAAAUAUUUAAAUAUAAUUUCGAAAAUAAAGAUCUUGUAAAAAUCUUUUUAAACAGAUUUGUUAGAAUUUUAAAAUAAAUAUAUUUAUAUUUAAAAUGAAAAGAUAUCAAAAGAUAUUAUGAUUAAAAUAUUUUAAAAUUUUGAUUUAUUAUUAGUCUGAACUAAAAUGUAAUAUGAAUUUCUAUGAAUAAGUCUAUUAGGUCCAUUUUUUAAAAAAUCACACAUGAAUCAAGGUUGUGACUUCUGUUUUAAUAUAUAAGAUAUGAAUUUCUAUGAAUAGGUCCAUUAGGUUCAUUUUUAAAAAAAUCACACAUGAAUCAAGGUUGUGACUUCUGUUUUAAUAUAUAAGAUAUUCAUAAAAUCUCUAAAAAGUAGAUGAGUUGACUUACCAUCUUAUCAAGUUGUUGACUAAUUAAUUAAGAUGUAUGAAUAAUAGCAUUAACAUUCGUAUGGAAAGAUAGCGUAGGGGCACGUACGGGUAUUACAGAUUUCAAAUAUGUUUUUAGUCAGUUAUUGCCAUUGUUAAUUGAUCAUUAGCCGACGAGUAGAUUUAAAAAUCAACAAAAGUGGAUUUAUAAAAAUAUCAAAGAACUUCUUAGACCAAUUCAAACAUUGCGAAAGAAAAAACAUUGCAUGGGACAUAACUGAUAACUAAUAGAACCAACGAUAAACUUUUGAUAAUGAAAUUCAAAUACUUAUCCAAAUUUGUGAUUAAUCAGUUUCGCGUACAAUGUGUGGAAAAGUAGAUGAAUUGACUUAAUAUCUUCACAAGUCGUUGACUAAUUAUCUUAGAUAUGAAUAGUUACAUUAACAUUCGUAUAAUGGAAAGGUAUAGCUAGGGCACUUACGGGUAUUACAGAUUUUAAAUAAUUUUUAUUUGGUCAUUGUCACUGUUAAUUGAUCAUUAAACGAAGAGUAGAUUAAAAAAUCAACAAAAUGGAUUUUUAAAAUAAUCAAAGGAACACUUCUUAGACCUAUUCAAACAUUGUGUGGGACAUGACUAUGAACGAUGAAACUUUUGUCCAUUUGUACAGCUAUGGAUAAUAACUUAUGAUGUUUCAUGUCUGGUAGAGUAGAGGAGUUGACUCAAUAUAUAUGACAAGUCGUUGGCUAAUUAUUUUAUAAAAUGGAAAAUCAUAUAGUCUUCAUUAUCGUACCGAAUCAACAUAAAAAUCUCCGUUUACUCAUAAUUUUUUAUUUUUGUUAAAGAGAUUUACUCAUAAAUUCCCUCCGCUAUAACCCUACAUUUUGCAUUUUUGUUAUUGUUUUAUUUUUUAAAAAUACUCACUUUUCCUAAUUUGUUCUUUAAACAUAUCCCUUUUUGUUAAACAAAUUAUUAAAAUACGCCACAUGAAUUUCCUAAAGACUUUAAGCUAGUGGUGAAAAUGACAAACUAACAUUUAUAAAUGUUUAAGAAUUAUUAAUAGAAGUUUAUAAACUCAACACAUUAAAUUCUAAACCCUAAACAAUAAUCACAAAAUCCUAGACCCAAAUGUUAGAGUGCUUUUAUUGAAGGAAUUUUUGAAAAAUAGUAUCCAGUUUAUGGUAUUUCAAGUAAUUUUUCAUAUUUGUAUUAUAUUCAUAUAAGUAUCCAAACAAUGUUCAUUUAAACGAAAAUAAGAAAAAAAUUUAUAUUUGUGAAAACGGUUAUCAUUUAAAGGUAAAUUUGAAAGUAAUCUUAUACUUAUGGUAAAAUUUAAAUUUUCCUUAAUUUAGAAUUUAGUAAUUAUUGUUUAAAGUUUAGUAUUUAUAGGAUGGGGUUGGGUUUAUAAAGAUUCAAAAAUUAAUUUUAAAACAUUUAUAAAUUAUUAAGAAGGUUUAAUUUAAUCUUUUCGCAUCAAAAACUUAAAGUACUUAUGAAAAUAAUUAUAUCUUAAGAUUAAAUUUGAAUAUGGUAUCAAAUUUAUGGUAAAACUAAAAUUUUCUCUAAAAAAUCUCUCAUAAGAUUGUAUAGUCUUUGGUUUCUAAGAUUUUUACAUCUUCUCUCUUUCUUUCUCUAUUUUUCAUUUUUUCUGUUUAUUUUUAAUGGUGAGAAACUCUCAUUCGCAAAUCGGGACUCUCACCUAAACUUGACUUCCCUACCUUUUGUGAUCACAAUCAAGAUUCAUCAUAGUCAUCACCAAUGAUGAUUUCUACGUCUCAUAUUAGAAGCAGCAUUCUCAAUUUUCAUGAACAUCUUUACUUGUAAGUCUUAAAGACCAACUUAAGGAUCAAUGACUCAGUCAAAAAAAAAAACUUAGUGAUCAAUGACUACGCUCCAAUUGUCACAAAAGAAAAAGGAUUGGGGCUCGAGUGAAAUGUUAAAUAUUUGAAUUAAAACAAUUUUAAUUUUUCAUGCUAUAUAGCACAAUAGUAACAAAAUCAACAUAAAGCAUAUUUGACAUAUAUAAAAAAUACUAGAAAUCAAUUUUACGAGACAUAGUUAAUGUUAGUAUUUAGUAAAUAUAAAUUUUGUAUAUCUAAAAAUUUUGAAGUCAGUUAUCAAAACCUGAUGGCUUCUUACACAUUAGGGCAUUUUCUCCUUUGUUGGACCAAGUAAAGAGUGGACCAUGACCUCCCAGGUCCUGGAAAGAAGAGAAUGCAACAUCUUUAAAGUCACGCAUACCUUAAGCUAUAAUCGGACUAUCAUUAUAGUUUGAAUGUUCUUUCUGAAAACACACAUACAAUUAGUUUGAAUAUUCUUUUCUAUUUAAUACCAUGUUAAAAUCUCCACUGAUCACACAUGGCUUAUUCAGAAUUAGGGAAGAUCUUUGAUUGGAGCCAAUAAUCAAUAUAAUCCCAGAGCUCUUUCCUCUCUUCUAUGGUACUGUUGCAAAGCGUAAAUAGAGCUGCCAAAGAACUCCUCCGUUUUUCCUUUCAAUAUAUAAUAUUGAACAUGUGAUCAUUGGAUCACUUUUUAAACAUUGGCUGUUAGUUGCACAUUUUCCCGCCAAAGUAGUUUUUAUUUAUUUAUUUAUAUAUAUGUAUAAAACACAGUUGACAACAGUAAUUUAUGAUAUACUUACGUAUAAAACACAGUUGACAACAGAAAUUACAUUGUAUAAAACGAAAAAGAAAGCGAACAGAGAAAUAAGGGACAUAGGUAUAGUAAUGGCAGGAUGGUAGGAUACAUGCCAUUUCAAAGGAAGAAAUAGGAAACGACCGGAGAGAUCACAUCCCCCGUCAAACAAACGUACGCAACAUUAGCGCCAAAACGCGCUAUAUCCCUUUUUCUAAUUCUACCUGGAUCGGCUUCUUCUUCUUCUUCUUCUUCUUCUUCUUCUUCUUCUUCUUCUUCUUCUUCUUCUUCUUCUUCUUCUUCUUCUUCUUCUUCUUCUUCUUCUUCUUCUUCUUCUUCUUCUUCUUCUUCUUCUUCUUCUUCUUCUUCUUCUUCUUCUUCUUCUUCUUCUUCUUCUUCUUCUUCUUCUUCUUCUUCUUCUUCUUCUUCUUCUUCUUCUUCUUCUUCUUGAACCUCACCUCGAUUUGUAUCUUCCUCAUUGUGGCUCACUCCCUGAGGCUGCUGGGUGCAGAGUGGAUGGACGUCGAAGCCGCAAGGCUGGCAUUGGUAAAACAUCCCCUUGGUUGUUUCUUUGCAGAUGUCGCACCAACGUCCGUCCUGGUGGACUAACCGGAGCUCGUGCUGUGGAUGAAGACUGCUUCGGAGGGUAGGGGGACACGUGGCACAAUACUCGUGAAGAUCGUAGUUGCAAGAGGCGCAACGGUAGGUCCUCCCAAAGCCGUAAGUUUCGCAGCCAUCGCAUAUGUACCUGCCAACCCCGUCAACUUUCGUUAAUGGAUGGAUAUGGUGGGCUACUUCUUCCGCUUUCGAAGGAGACAUAUCUCAAUAUUUAUGUUUAUGUUCUUUCUUUCUUUCUUUUGCUUCUUGGGAAUGGUAGGACUUGAGAGAACAAACCUGGAUAUAUAUAUAUAUAUAUGUCUGAAAUGGUGAUCAAGUGGCAACUCAUUGAAAUGAAGAAAUAGCGAGGAAGGAUAGUCCAACCAGAGAAACCAGAACGAGUCAGCUCUGGUGGUAAAGGGGUUGCGGCUGUAACUUCCGCCACCCGGGUUCGAUUCGUGCUGGGAGGGACUAUUUACAUUGCUUGGGUUCCCGGCAAAGAGGUGAAACACACCUUUUUUAUAUUCAAAAAAAAGAUAGUCCAACCAGAGACGUACUCAACAAUACGUGUAAGAGCAUGAUUAUCCCUAGAAACCAAUAAGGUUUCUUAAGUACACUUUAAUGAAUAUUUAAUUAUUAAAUUUUAGCUAAGGACUUUAGUUAAGAAUCACUUAAUUUUUGUGCUACAAAGGUAG